rnacentral:rRNA from 1 species
AGCGAACGCUGGCGGCAGGCUUAACACAUGCAAGUCGAGCGCCCGUAGCAAUACGGGAGCGGCAGACGGGUGAGUAACACGUGGGAACGUGCCCUUUGGUUCGGAAUAACUCAGGGAAACUUGAGCUAAUACCGGAUAAGUCCGUAAGGAGAAAGAUUUAUCGCCGAAGGAGCGGCCCGCGUCCGAUUAGCUAGUUGGUG